rnacentral:rRNA from 1 species
UACGUAGGUGGCAAGCGUUGUCCGGAAUUAUUGGGCGUAAGCGCGCGCAGGCGGUCCUUUAAGUCUGAUGUGAAAGCCCACGGCUCAACCGUGGAGGGUCAUUGGAAACUGGGGGACUUGAGUACAGAAGAGAAGAGUGGAAUUCCACGUGUAGCGGUGAAAUGCGUAGAGAUGUGGAGGAACACCAGUGGCGAAGGCGACUCUUUGGUCUGUAACUGACGCUGAGGCGCGAAAGCGUGGGGAGCAACAGG